UGAUCGUGAUUAUGCUCAUGAUCGUGUUCAUGCUCAUGAUCGUGUUCAUGGUCAUGGUCAUGGUCAUGGUCAUGGUCAUGAUCGUGAUCCCUUUCU
rnacentral:pre_miRNA from 1 species